rfam:Oryza brachyantha chromosome 10, whole genome shotgun sequence.
UGGUGCCAGUGAUGAUUACAGAGCUCGUAAAAAUGGUGAAUUCUGGAUGAGCGCACUCGCGUGCGUGCUGAUAUCCCUCUCUGAUCAGUUCGUCUGAGGCACGA